rnacentral:rRNA from 1 species
UGCAAACUGCGAAUACCGGAGAAUGUUAUCACGGGAGACACACGGCGGGUGCUAACGUCCGUCGUGAAGAGGGAAACAACCCAGACCGCCAGCUAAGGUCCCAAAGUCAUGGUUAAGUGGGAAACGAUGUGGGAAGGCCCAGACAGCCAGGAUGUUGGCUUAGAAGCAGCCAUCAUUUAAAGAAAGCGUAAUAGCUCACUGGUCGAGUCGGCCUGCGCGGAAGAUGUAACGGGGCUAAACCAUGCACCGAAGCUGCGGCAGCGACACUAUGUGUUGUUGGGUAGGGGAGCGUUCUGUAAGCCUGUGAAGGUGGCCUGUGAGGGUUGCUGGAGGUAUCAGAAGUGCGAAUGCUGACAUAAGUAACGAUAAAGCGGGUGAAAAGCCCGCUCGCCGGAAGACCAAGGGUUCCUGUCCAACGUUAAUCGGGGCAGGGUGAGUCGACCCCUAAGGCGAGGCCGAAAGGCGUAGUCGAUGGGAAACAGGUUAAUAUUCCUGUACUUGGUGUUACUGCGAAGGGGGGACGGAGAAGGCUAUGUUGGCCGGGCGACGGUUGUCCCGGUUUAAGCGUGUAGGCUGGUUUUCCAGGCAAAUCCGGAAAACCAAGGCUGAGGCGUGAUGACGAGGCACUACGGUGCUGAAGCGACAAAUGCCCUGCUUCCAGGAAAAGCCUCUAAGCAUCAGGUAACAUCAAAUCGUACCCCAAACCGACACAGGUGGUCAGGUAGAGAAUACCAAGGCGCUUGAGAGAACUCGGGUGAAGGAACUAGGCAAAAUGGUGCCGUAACUUCGGGAGAAGGCACGCUGAUAUGUAGGUGAAGCGACUUGCUCGUGGAGCUGAAAUCAGUCGAAGAUACCAGCUGGCUGCAACUGUUUAUUAAAAACACAGCACUGUGCAAACACGAAAGUGGACGUAUACGGUGUGACGCCUGCCCGGUGCCGGAAGGUUAAUUGAUGGGGUUAGCGGUAACGCGAAGCUCUUGAUCGAAGCCCCGGUAAACGGCGGCCGUAACUAUAACGGUCCUAAGGUAGCGAAAUUCCUUGUCGGGUAAGUUCCGACCUGCACGAAUGGCGUAAUGAUGGCCAGGCUGUCUCCACCCGAGACUCAGUGAAAUUGAACUCGCUGUGAAGAUGCAGUGUACCCGCGGCAAGACGGAAAGACCCCGUGAACCUUUACUAUAGCUUGACACUGAACAUUGAGCCUUGAUGUGUAGGAUAGGUGGGAGGCUUUGAAGUGUGGACGCCAGUCUGCAUGGAGCCGACCUUGAAAUACCACCCUUUAAUGUUUGAUGUUCUAACGUUGGCCCGUAAUCCGGGUUGCGGACAGUGUCUGGUGGGUAGUUUGACUGGGGCGGUCUCCUCCUAAAGAGUAACGGAGGAGCACGAAGGUUGGCUAAUCCUGGUCGGACAUCAGGAGGUUAGUGCAAUGGCAUAAGCCAGCUUGACUGCGAGCGUGACGGCGCGAGCAGGUGCGAAAGCAGGUCAUAGUGAUCCGGUGGUUCUGAAUGGAAGGGCCAUCGCUCAACGGAUAAAAGGUACUCCGGGGAUAACAGGCUGAUACCGCCCAAGAGUUCAUAUCGACGGCGGUGUUUGGCACCUCGAUGUCGGCUCAUCACAUCCUGGGGCUGAAGUAGGUCCCAAGGGUAUGGCUGUUCGCCAUUUAAAGUGGUACGCGAGCUGGGUUUAGAACGUCGUGAGACAGUUCGGUCCCUAUCUGCCGUGGGCGCUGGAGAACUGAGGGGGGCUGCUCCUAGUACGAGAGGACCGGAGUGGACGCAUCACUGGUGUUCGGGUUGUCAUGCCAAUGGCACUGCCCGGUAGCUAAAUGCGGAAGAGAUAAGUGCUGAAAGCAUCUAAGCACGAAACUUGCCCCGAGAUGAGUUCUCCCUGAGACUUAGAGUCUCCUGAAGGAACGUUGAAGACGACGACGUUGAUAGGCCGGGUGUGUAAGCGCAGCGAUGCGUUGAGCUAACCGGUACUAAUGAACCGUGAGGCUUAACCUUACAACGCCGAAG